UACGAAGGGGGCUAGCGUUGCUCGGAAUUACUGGGCGUAAAGGGCGCGUAGGCGGACAGUUAAGUCAGAGGUGAAAGCCCAGGGCUCAACCCUGGAAUAGCCUUUGAUACUGGCUGUCUUGAGUGCGGGAGAGGUGUGUGGAACUCCGAGUGUAGAGGUGAAAUUCGUAGAUAUUGGGAAGAACACCAGUGGCGAAGGCGGC
rnacentral:rRNA from 1 species